rnacentral:pre_miRNA from 11 species
AACCGCAUGGAAAUAUCCAUCUUCCCGUGCGGUCGGGUUAAGUGGACCGCACGGGAUAAUCGAUUAUCCCGUGCGGUC